rnacentral:rRNA from 1 species
GAUGAACGCUGGCGGCGUGCCUAAUACAUGCAAGUCGAGCGAACAGACGAGGAGCUUGCUCCUUUGACGUUAGCGGUGGACGGGUGAGUAACACGUGGGUAACCUACCUAUAAGACUGGGAUAACUUCGGGAAACCGGAGCUAAUACCGGAUAAUAUUUCGAACCGCAUGGUUCGAUAGUGAAAGAUGGCUUUGCUAUCACUUAUAGAUGGACCUGCGCCGUAUUAGCUAGUUGGUAAGGUAACGGCUUACCAAGGCAACGAUACGUAGCCGACCUGAGAGGGUGAUCGGCCACACUGGAACUGAGACACGGUCCAGACUCCUACGGGAGGCAGCAGUAGGGAAUCUUCCGCAAUGGGCGAAAGCCUGACGGAGCAACGCCGCGUGAGUGAUGAAGGUCUUCGGAUCGUAAAACUCUGUUAUUAGGGAAGAACAAACGUGUAAGUAACUGUGCACGUCUUGACGGUACCUAAUCAGAAAGCCACGGCUAACUACGUG